UCAGUAGUUAAUUUUCUGUGUUAUUGAACGUUUCGAUAUCAUUGAUUUUCUAAUAAUUCUACCAAUAAAGUAAGAGAAGGAACGAUGAAUUGAAGGGCAAGUAUCAAUAUGAUGAUGGUGUAAUCCGAUUUGCAUGCCUAGGUCAGUAAUUUAUCCUUGGUGUUCCAUACUAUUUGGUUGAAUGAUCCCCCAUUUUCUUCUCCUUUUAUGAGUAUUAAUUAAUGUUUUUUUUUUGUUCCAUUUUCAAAUGAGCAAAUGUGGAACUGUUUCUUAAAAGGAUUUGAAAAAGCCAACAAAUAUUUCAAAUGUGAAUCAACCAAAUUAUCCAUUAACUAUUGGUUUUUCAUUAACUAUUAGUUAACAGAGUAAAUGUUAUCGAUCAAUGUUUACAGAGCCAAUGAUGAGAUUGGCCACAAUACUAAAAAAUGUACUGUAUUAAAGCCCUGGAUGUGUUCCGAUUCCUGUUGGUGUUAAGGCCCAAGUGCUCAGAAAGAGCGCAAAUUGUGGUUCAUCUUAAAAGAAUUAAAGUGGCCAAGGGCCAAGCAAAUCCACAAGGCAAAGAUGUCAGACAAUGUUUUCAUAUCUUUAAAUGCAAGGAUUUUAAAGUUCACUAGAGAUAACCUACUUCUCAGACAUGGUACUUUGAUGCCGGAUUUAAUUGAGUCCGCGUCGCAUAUGGCUUAUCCGCGCGCUGAUGCCAUAAAGCCACAUCAUAAUGAUUCCGAAAUGGUUCGUCAGUUGCGCCUUCACGGUCGUGUAGUAGAACCUCUUAAAGAUGAAGUAAGAGCCUUAGGUCGAGAGCUAGGUCAGCUCGCAGAAUUACUUUAACGUCAUACGUUUCCUGGUCCCGGUUUGUCGAUUCGAAUCAUUCGCGCCGAAGAACCGUUCAUGAAAGCUGAUUUCGGUGAGACGCAAUUGCUAAUUCGUUUGAUGGUCGAUUAUGCCAACAUAGCAACCAAGGAACAUGCCUUGCUCAUUCUGAAAUCGCGACGUCGGAAGAAAGAGCGUCUUCUUCUGGAACAACUGUUCAGUCACAACCAGUAUGUUUCUACGCUCCUACCUAUUCGCACUGUCGGUGUUCAGGUAAAGAGCUUCGCAAGUUACCCGUUUUGUUGGCGGAUUUAUAAAGAUUCCUUCAGAUCUUCCUUGCUGGGAGGUUGCCGAACUUGUAGCUUUUGCGUAGCACUGAGCUCUGAUUAGACACAACCAAACUGGAAUGAUUUAGCUACCUACGCCUGCUUAAUAUCGUGUGUGUGCCAUCAUUUCGACCGUGUUUGCUACAUAUUCGGAAAGGCUGUGUGUGAAUCGGUGACAGACUUUACACCUACCUACUUAACGAGUAACAUUUUGGCGACUUUAAGGGAAGCAAAUUAUUUGGCAAAAAAAUAUCACAGGAUUCGGGUUGCUAUAAGAAGCUAGCCCAGAUGCCAAUCGUCUUGAUCCCUCUUCACUUUGAUCGCGAUUCGAGUUAACGCAUUUCAUCAUACCAGCGAUCGGUCGUUUUUCGGACAUUCUUUUCACAGUAUUUUAUGACUGAACUUCCUGCAAUUCCUGGUACCCAUUAGCCCCAAGAGGUUGUAGACGAGAUGGUUGAAGCCAUCUUAACUGUUCCAGGAGUUUCCACGGUCUUGUAUAACCUGACGGUGAAACCACCUGCGACAACCGAGUGGGAAGGAUUUAAUUUACGAACGUUGUUUAGGGAAAUGAUCUCCGCACUCUUUAUAGGACACGGAUGCAGAGUUGUAUCAUUGACCAGAUUUAGAUGGGAAAUAUUAUGAACAGUGGAUUCAGUAUAGACUUUUGAAAUUGAAAAAUGAAUCAGGCUUGUCGUUUCGUAAAAUCUCUUAAACUGGCUUUUUAAGAGGAGUUCACGUGAUGAUUGUUGACUAUUCCCUAAAUAUACAUGCACACUUGUUGGAAAUAAUAGAUGCAUUUGUUUUUCGUUGAACUAGGUUGGGUUGUUGUUCCUCUCCCUUGUAAAACUACCCUUUUUCGCCCAAUUGUUAAUCGAAAUGUUUUGGGAACGUUCGGAUGUCGCCCAAAAGCAAGCGGAAGGCCUUUCGAGACGUUAUACCAUUUCCUAAAAUUGAACAUUCAGAAAAUGUGGUAUAUAUUCGCAAAUUGUUAAGAUAUAUUUAGAGUGGUACCAUAAAGUAUGACUGUAAGAAAGGGUACUUAGGCUUCUAAAAAUGAAGAAAAGCUCUUGAUGUCUUAAGUAAUUGGAAAAGGUACUGCAAAGAGAAGCGUCACAUGACGGUUAUAAGGAUGGACUUUCGUUGGCUUUGCCCAAUGAAUCUGUGCCUGGAACUGGCAAUGGCGCCCAAUCUUUAUUCGUAAAACUCAAGAGGUGUUCUUCGCUUUUCAGGGGGAUUGAUUGAUUGGUUAAAAUAUGGAUACCAAGAAUACCAAAAGAUGGGUAAGUGGAUGGUUAUAAAAGUGGAAAACUGUAAUUCCUCAUGGUUCUGUCGUUCACGCAUGCGCGCCAGUUCGUGAGCAGACGAACCAUUGAAAGAGCAUUACGCAGUCUAGCUGGAUCCAGCCAGAUACUAGUAGAACCCGAAACAUUGUUUUGACAAGUACUGCCAUAUUUCGAUUACAGGUUUUCACUAAAUACCAAGUCAGCCCAAAUUCUAGAUGGCGAUGAUGUGCGUCUAAGAUGAAGAUUACGAGUGACAAGUUAAAUAGGUGUUUGUUACGUUACCCUGUUUUGUGUUUUAAAGGAUUUGUCGUCAACAAAAUUACGAUUGCUUUUUGUGUGUGUUGGUGUUUCGCCUUGUCAGCUAUGCCAGCUACUGAACCAGCAGCCUGCAUUCCUGUUAUCAAUGUAUCACAAGGGAUCCUGACAAUUUAAGAAAGCCACUAUUCCUUACAGGAAGAUCACCAUUCAGUGCAAUCAACCACAGAGUCUUCAUCUACUUUUUUUGCUAACCAUCAGCCCUCAGCAUCCCAGGUAUCAUGAUUUCCAAGCUUCUCUGAUUAGCUAACCAUCAUCCAUACACUUCAGCUAUUCAGUGGGGCUUAUUUUCCUCUUUUCUUAGUCUGCCGAAUGCCAACAUGGAAUAAGGUUCAUCUUCAUUGCCUUACCAUGGAAAAUUGUCAUUGUUAAUCCUGCUGUUCUUCUCACUGUUACUUGGCCAGCAAACAUGGAUAGGCUUUAACGCCAUCUCCAUUUUUUGGACUGCAAAUCUUCAUCUUCUUUCGGUACAACACUGCCGCUUCGACAAUGUCGGUAGUUUCACCCCCAGUGGACCACAUGCGCGCACUUUUAUUUUUUUUAAACAGCCAGCCUGUUAACUGUUAAGCAAGCUACCCAACCAUAUAGAUGUGGGCAACCCACAUGCUUCACUUUCCAUCAUGCACAGAGAGUGAAUUCAUAUUCUGCUACUAGUGAUCCUUAAUAGCAUGAUUCUUAUUUAUUAUUCAGUUCAUGGAAAUAAAAGCACAAGAGAUGCUGACAGUAGAGUAGGGUGAUGCACCUCAUCCAACAAGUGCAGGAUAUUCAUCUCUAGUGUCAACAAUUGACCAUCACCUUAUCAGUAGCUUUCUUCUCAUGCCAAUUACCCAGCUAGCAUGCAUUGGCAACUGGAAGUUUUAAUAUUUCUUCUCUUCAAAAUUGCCGUCUCGACCAAUUGCUUCAAUUUCGCGCUCAGUUGACCACAAGCAACUACCCUAUCUUCUUCUUCACUCCGGGAAUAAUGAACCAUCUGGACAGUGGACUGCUGUCUUCUUCCUUCGCCUCAUCGUCUUCGCCGCCUAGCUGUCUUCGUCUUCGCCGCCUCGCUGUCUUCGUCUUCGCCGCCUCGCUGUCUUCGUCUUCGCCACCUCGCUGUCUUCGUCUUCGCCGCCUCGCUGUCUUCGUCUUCGCCUUCACCUCAUCGCUGUCUUCGUCUACGCCUUUGAGGCAUCACCAUCCUCGAGCCAUCUAUCCUAAAUAAAAAACGGGUGCAGUUCAGCAGCAAGCCCAAGGCGAUGGAGGAGAUUCAACGAGGAACGUCGUGCUGUGGUAUUGUUUUGUUUUGUUUUGUGUUGUCAUGUGUAUAGAACUAGUUAACCCGUUGGCUGCCACCCCGUUUGAGUCCCAUUUUUUUUCUAGCUUGUAGGGACCGGGCGCUGUUCUGCCCCAUGGCCGUGGGUGGAACAGUCGCCGCGCCUAAAGGCUUUGUGCCUUUAGGCGCCGUAGGCAAUGCACCAGUAGGGACUCUCUUUGUCGGUGCGGUGAUAGAUUCCUGGGGUGUGCAUUCCCGGAAUGGAAUCUAUUACCGUGUCAGCCCGGACUUGUCUUCGGACAAGUCCCCCUUUGUUCGUGGAUCCAUCUGACGCGAAGCGUAGCAAAUGUAGUGAAGCAAUCUACGGGUUGCAUGGCCUGGCAGCCAACGGGUUAACUUAGUUAAGUGUGUAUGUAUGUUUGUAUGUAUGUCAAUGUAUUUUAUAUUUAUGUGAUAUGUGUUGUAUAAAACAGUGGUGGAAUUGUGGG